AAAAAAGACUUCUCUUAUAAUCUUGAAGAUUUACCCAGUGUCAAGGCGAUCCACAAAACUAACUACCUAGAGCUGCAGACCUCAUAUUGUACAAUGAGCCAGAAGAAAGCUUUCAAAAGCCUGGAGAAUACAAUCAUUUAGUUUCAAGUUGGGUCAAGCACUUAGGAUCAAAAGAAGCAUUUAUUGGCUGUCACUUGUUUCUGGGUCCAUUGGGAGAACACCGACUUCACGUCAUGUAGAAAACGAGAGCGAUGAAUGAUAACGGGAGCAGAGGACGGAGCUUGUCAUCUCUCCUUCCCUGGCUUCGCACCCACGGCCCUCGUGACUCACUGUUGGGCUGAGUUUCUCCAACUUUUGAGGCACAGGUAAGACGGUCAAACCAUCUUAUUGACCUAAAUCCAACAAGAAAUCUGCAGCAAGAUAUUGACAGAGCCUCUACAUCCAUUCUGACUGAGGUCGAUAUGCUAACCAC